AGGCAAUAACAGGUUUGUGAUGCCCUUAGAUGUUUUGGGCCGCACGCGCGUUACACUGACAGGACCAGGGAGUUUUUACCUUGGCCGGAAGGUCUGGGCAAUCUUGUGAAAUCCUGUCGUGCUGGGGAUAGAGCAUUGCAAUUAUUGCUCUUCAACGAGGAAUACCUAGUAAGCGUGAGUCAUCAGCUCGCGUUGAUUACGUCCCUGCCCUUUGUACACACCGCCCGUCGCUACUACCGAUUGAAUGGCUUAGUGAGGUCUUCGGAUUGGCUUUGGGGAGCCGGAAACGGCACCCUAUGCGAGAA
rnacentral:rRNA from 1 species